AUUGAACGCUGGCGGCAGGCCUAACACAUGCAAGUCGAACGAGUGGCGGACGGGUGAGUAAUGUCUGGGAAACUGCCUGAUGGAGGGGGAUAACUACUGGAAACGGUAGCUAAUACCGCAUACCAUCAGAUGUGCCCAGAUGGGAUUAGCUAGUGGGUGGGGUAACGGCUCACCAAGGCGACGAUCCCUAGCUGGUCUGAGAGGGUGACCAGCCACACUGGAACUGAGACACGGUCCAGACUCCUACGGGAGGAAGCAGUGGGGAAUAUUGCGCAAUGGGCGAAAGCCUGAUGCAGCCAUGCCGCGUGUAUGAUGAAGGCCUUCGGGUUGUAAAGUACUUUCAGCGGGGAGGCGUUACCCGCAGAGGAAGCACCGGCUAACUCCGUGCCAGCAGCCGCGGUAAUUC
rnacentral:rRNA from 1 species